GGGCACUUGGUCUAGGGGUGUAAGUAAACAUUAUCUGAGGCAUGCUAUGCUACCAUUCUAACUUUAAUUCAGAUGAUUUUCGCUUCGCAUCAAUUCAGACGAUACGUACAUGUGAAAGGUCGUGGGUUCAAUUCCCACAGUGUCCA